GCUCAACAUUUAUAUACCAGCUAGUAGUCAGAGAACACAGUGAAAAUUCCUUAAUCUCAUGACACACGGACCAAUGCAACCAUGAUUUCACCUGGGAACUUUCAGCAUCCUAGACUAAGAUAAAUCCAAAAAUGUGGGGACUCCUGAAAGCUUGGUAUUCAGACAAGUCAGCCAUCAACAGGCACAUACAUGUAAAUAACAUUUACACUCUAUUCAAAAGAGACAAUAAAAACGCUCAUCAGGAAAUGAAAAACCAGAAGAAGACCUCACCAGCAAUCAGCACUGGUAUAAGCAGGGAUUAGCACCAGGAUUAACACCCAAACAAUCAAGAAUAAACAACAGCCUAAUCGAGGAAUUACCAAUUUAGACAAACAAUCAGGCAAUAAACUGCCUAAUCCAGGAAUGACCAACUCAGACAAACAAAUGUGCAGUAAAUAACAGCAUAAUCAAAGAACUAUCAAGGAGAGAACAAUACUGCCACCAACAAUGGCAAGCAAGGAAUUGGAUAUACAAACAGGGAGCAAACCCCACUCCUUUCUAAUACUGAAGAUGUUACCUAGUCAGUGAGUGACCUGGAAUGUUGACAAAAGAGAGCUGGCAAGAUCCAUCUUUUCCCUCUUUAAUCCAGCUUUUGAGUUCAACGGCUUUAACUUUGUCUGCCUGAAGAUUUGAGUGCAGCUAAAAAUGGAGCUGUGUAAAUUGCAUAAAAGUUGUCGAGAAAUGUGCAUAUCUAUCCUGCAAAAGCCUCUGAGUGCCAUUUGUUCAGUCUUGUAAACCAGAAAAAUUGGAAUCAACUAUGGCUGCCUUAUUAUCCCUUGUUCCCUGUGGCUUGUGUUUUCAUGGCAUACUACACAAUAAAAUUAUCAAAUGAACUUU